AUGCUCCGUGCGUGUACAACCGAUCCAUGUGGAAACCCGGAACACCACAGGCGAGACGCCUCCCUCGGCACCCGGCGCAUGGACCGACCCUUCGCGGUCAGGCGCUGGCGCCGUUCCUGGGUUCGGCCCGGGCUCGACCAGCGACCGCGUCGGUUGCCGUCUCUUGUCCCUUGCACUAGGAUUUCCCCUCCUCUCCCUCCCUCCACGCGGUCCAGACCAGCCAAGACCAACAAACCGCUCCAAAAGAAAAGAGAAAAGAACACCUUUCUAUUUCCCACUUUCUUUAUUUUUCCUUCUGGAACGAGGAGCCAGAAGAAACACACACCGGAGCCGCGCCGGAGCCGUCCGCCGUGCCGGCCGCGAGCCAGCGCACCGCCGGGACCCCGCCCCGCCCCGCCCCUCGGAGGGUGGAGGAGAGGAGAGGGAGGACGAGGACGACGAGGAGGCCCCAGGAGUCCCGCGGGGGAAGCUUCUAGAAGCUGCCGGAGGCGGGGCGGGGGCGAGGGCAGCGCGAUCUCGCCCGAGCCUGCCGCGCGGAGGAGGCGCCGGGCAGGGCGCCUCCCGGGUGCCGGCGCCCCCAGUGACUUGAAUGGAAGGCAGAUCUCGAGGGCGAGGGAAGCUUCUAGAAGCGGGCUGAGGAGGCGCGGUUAGUUCGUUAGGGUUUGGCCUGGCGGUGGGAGGCGGGGCGGGAUGGGGGGAGGCUCGGAGGGUGGAGGAGACGCGGACGACGGCUGCUGCAGCGUCGGGGACACCUCGCCGGGGACCAUCGUGUGGGUGCGCCGGAGGAACGGCUCCUGGUGGCCCGGCAGGAUCCUGGGCCAAGCCGAGCUGCCGCCGUCGCAGAUCAUGUCUCCAAGGUCCGGCACGCCGGUCAAGCUUCUCGGCCGCGAGGACGCCAGCGUUGACUGGUACAACCUUGAGAAAUCAAAGCGCGUUAAAGCAUUUAGGUGUGGGGAGUUCGAUGCCUGCAUUGAGAGGGCAGAGGCUACUCAAGGGACUCUUUCGAAGAAAAGAGAGAAAUAUGCACGGAGAGAAGAUGCCAUUCUUCAUGCCCUUGAAUUAGAGAGGAAACUGCAUCAGACUCAAGGUUUCAGACCUGCCUACUUUUCUGCUUGCACGAAACAUCGCAAAGACCUUGGAAGUACUCGCUACAAGAGCAAAAAGAGGAAAAGAAAAGAUGUAUCUGCUCUUCCUGCAAAAAAAGAAGCUGGGCAGUAUUUUCUCAAUGCCGAUUUGAAGAUAAACUUUUCAGACUCGCAGGGUACCUCAGAGAAUCUUAUCAGUAAUCACAUUGGAGACUUAUCCCAUGUGAGACAUAUUCAGGGUGGAGCAAGUUUAGAGAGCAAGGAGAAUUGUACAAUUGUGAAAAAGAAUAGAUCGGAUGGAAGUGAUUUCGAUGAAUCUAUUGAAAAAUGUGACAGACACCGACCACUUGUUCAAGUCUUGCAGAGCAGUGCAAACUUGACGCAGCACUCGCCGCACAAUGAUGAUUACGGGGCUAUCUUAAUUGGGGGAGAUAAAGAUCCAUCACCUGCCACCUAUCGGGCUAAAAGAAGUAGAUAUGCAUACCUGCCUAGUGAUUCUGGUGAAACUCAUAGUCAUAGUGAUUUACCUUCUGCUCAAAUGGUUUCUACAGGAGCUGAUUUUGACACCGAAAGUUAUCUUCAGCAUCCAGAUUCCUCUUCUGAGGAACAUACAUCUUCGGACUUUGUUGAGAAACACGUAUCUGAGUCUUCAGAGAGGGAAUGCUCAGAAAGUGAAACAGAAGAUGAUGCGGAGCUUUUGCAAAGUGCUAAUAGGAUUCUGCCUCCAGAGUUACGCCCCCGUGAUCCUUAUUUCCUUCGGACUUCUGACAGGUUUGGGCAUGUGGAUAAUUAUGAUGAUGAUGAUGAUGAUGAUGACAAUGAGGUGGCCUAUUCUGCUUAUAUGCAUCAAUUGAAUCAAUCAGAGGAAGAGGAUGGUUCUUCUGAGCUGGGUGUCUCCCGAUGGCAUAUAAAAGGUAAACGUAAUAACCGUAGCGCAGUGAAGAAAUUAACCUAUAUGACGGAUGGAAAAUCCUGUUUGGAUAAACCCAAUGGUCUCAUGAAAGGAUCUGUGUACAACACAAAUGGUAUAAAUCAUAGAAAAGAGAGUGUGCAGACAUCCGAUCAGCAAGUGCUUAGGAACCAAAUCAAAGAGGAGCCCCACUAUGAUUCUGAUGAAACAGAUCUAUUCGAGGACACAAGCCAUCCUGAGGUUAACUUGUAUCAUAGUCGAACAUACCCAUCAUCCUUGAAAGCUACAAGAGAUCUUAGCCGAAGCUACAUUUAUUAUAAUGACUAUGAAAAUGAUUCUUCCAAGAUUUCUCCACUUAACUGGGAUACAGAUCAGAUAUUUCGUGUUGAUCGGAAGGCAUAUUGGGACGAACCUUCAUUUUACCAAAGAAAUGGCAGUUCACGUUUGGGUCGCAUGGGCCCAAUGUUGUUUGAUAUCGACUUGAAGGUCCAAGCCAGCUACCAUGGAGAGCAUGUUCCUCUUGUUUCCUUGAUGAGCAGACUGGAUGGCAAAGCAAUUGUUGGACACCCUAUCCAAAUUGAAAUACUUGUAGAUGGUUCCACUGACCACCUGGUUUCUGGUGGUGAUAUUAGUAUGGAAGAGAGCACAGGAGCUCCAACUGCUUGGCGUACAGGCAGGAGGACAGCCAUGCAAAGAAUUCCCCGUUCUAAUCCUUUAGGAGCAUCAAUGGACUGUGGCAAUGAAGGCAGGCUUGCAUAUCCAGACUGGGAAAUGAAACCAGUCUUCAGUAAAUACUCAACUUCUGCAAAUCACCAGGUUAAGAAAAGCAUGUCAAAUAGCAAGCAGAGGUCAUCGGCAUCCAAAUCUCAAAAGAAGCCAUCCAAGAAGGCAAGUCUGUCAAGCCAGAAGGUCAGAACCCUCUCUUCCAUCCCCACUGGAAGAAGGCAUCAUGGAGGUGGCACUCAAGCAAAGCCGCGUACGCACAGUGGCAUUUUCAGUGACUUGAUCAAACCAGACGGAGCAAUUCCACCAGUUACAUGCGUCCCCGCAAAGGUUGUGUUCACAAGGAUACUGGAAGCAGUUGGCAGGCCACCUCUAGCUGCUGCUCGCCGUGUGAGAAUGGUUAGUCCUGAGGCACGAGAUCCAACAUAGGAAUCAACUGAAAUGCCAAGUAUGGUUGGUAUCUGUGUCCUGCAAGUUCCGUGUACAUUUAUGUAAAUUGAAGAGUCAAGCUAUUCAAUCAUUUGGGCUGCAUCAUCUGGAUAACUCAGGGAUAGCUGCGCUCUUCAACGGUAAUGACAACAUCAACAUGUAAAGAUUGGUAACGGUUAUAUACUUCUAACUGGAGGUUGAGAUCAAUUAGGCUCUCAACACGAGUGCUUCUCAGUUCUCGGACAACAGUUCAGCCAGCGACCUCCACUAAGGGGGAGCAUCCUUUAGAAGGGCGCAACUAGCGUUGGUAACCAUGGCUUUUGGCAGUGUCUCCUGUAAAGUACUAACUUCAGCAUUUUAGGAUGUCUAUUUAUAUAAACUUCUGUAUCGUCAUGUAGUCAAUAGGCCAUAUAUUUCCUGAUGUCAUGUAUAAGUCCUCAAUUGUAUUCUCACCAGAUCUCCGUGUUAUUUAUUGUCGAUGGUUAAUAGGUCCUCCGACUGUAUGUUUGGAAGAAUGUGUAGUAAGUUGAUGUAAUAUGUGAGAACUACACCGGUCACCGGAUGAUGUUAACAGUCUAAUUUUCUCUGUGAAGCUUACAUGAAUAC
rnacentral:rRNA from 1 species